rnacentral:rRNA from 1 species
UAACACGUGGAUAACCUACCUAUAAGACUGGGAUAACUUCGGGAAACCGGAGCUAAUACCGGAUAAUAUAUUGAACCGCAUGGUUCAAUAGUGAAAGACGGUUUUGCUGUCACUUAUAGAUGGAUCCGCGCCGCAUUAGCUAGUUGGUAAGGUAACUGCUUACCAAGGCAACGAUGCGUAGCCGACCUGAGAGGGUGAUCGGCCACACUGGAACUGAGACACGGUCCAG